rnacentral:rRNA from 1 species
GAUGAACGCUGGCGGCGUGCUUAACACAUGCAAGUCGAACGAAGCACUUUAUUUGAUUUCCUUCGGGACUGAUUAUUUUGUGACUGAGUGGCGGACGGGUGAGUAACGCGUGGGUAACCUGCCUUGUACAGGGGGAUAACAGUUGGAAACGGCUGCUAAUACCGCAUAUGCGCACGGCAUCGCAUGAUGCAGUGUGAAAAACUCCGGUGGUAUAAGAUGGAACCGCGUUGGAUUAGCUAGUUGGUGAGGUAACGGCCCACCAAGGCGACGAUCCAUAGACGGACUGAGAGGGUGACCGGCCACAUUGGGACUGAGACACGGACGAAACGCCUACGGGAGGAAGCAGUGGGGAAUAUUGCACAAUGGGUGAAAGCCUGAUGCAGCGACGCCGCGUGAACGAAGAAGUAUAUCGGUAUGUAAAGCUCUAUCAGCAGGGAAGAUAAUGACGGUAGCUGACAAAGAAGCACCGGCUAAAUACGUG